UACGGAGGGUGCGAGCGUUGUCCGGAAUCAUUGGGCGUAAAGGGCGCGUAGGUGGCCCGGUCAGCGUGCGGUGAAAGCUCGGGGCUCAACCCCGAGUCGGCCGUGCGAACUGCUGGGCUCGAGCACUGUAGAGGCAGGCGGAAUUCCGGGUGUAGCGGUGGAAUGCGUAGAGAUCCGGAAGAACACCGGUGGCGAAGGCGGCCUGCUGGGCAGUGGCUGACACUGAGGCGCGACAGCGCGAAAGCCAGGGGAGCAAACGGG
rnacentral:rRNA from 1 species